GUUCUGGAGGGAAGGGGCCAGUGCGGGGCUACUGGAUACCCAAGGAGAGGGGAAGUUGAGCUUCUGUUCAGCUGAGGAGGAUGGAUACCUGCUGGGGCCUGGUGCUGAAGUUCUCUUUGCCAUGAAGGAGGAUAAUGAGAAGGUGCCUACUUUGCUAACGGACUACAUUUUAAAAGUGCUCUGCCCUACCUAACCUUGCCCUUUGGAGCAGCCUCGCUGCAGGAGGUCACUGAGCAAGAGUCAUUCCAUCACAGGGACUGCAUGAGACCAUGUAACCUCCGACAUGUAUUUAAACGUGUAUAGCUUAACCUGGAUUAAACACGAGCAAGCGCGCGGGGUCCUUUGCCGUUGGCUUCUAGUGCUAGUAAUCAUUGGAUGCAUGAUGGGGCAGGGCCGGUGAUGGUGCCUCCCCCUUGCUGGUGUCAGGAGAGGGGAAGGCAGCCGCUUUCACCGCUCAUUAUGUAGUCUGGCUACAGCCCUCAAAAACAGCUUAUACUCUUAAGACUAAUUUUGAAAUAAAACCUUCAUUUAAUUAAUA
rnacentral:lncRNA from 1 species